CUUGUGUUUUCCCUCCUGGUCAUUUCACGGAUCACUGAGUGAUCGGUCACACCGUGUCUACAGUACGACCCUUGCAGUGACUAAGAUCAGAUGAUUAUCUGAGACAUUCACUUGAAGGCCUAAGAGGAAAUCAGGUGGAAUGGCUUUUCUCUCACAUCACUCAAUGCCAGUCCACAGAGCAGGAGGUACCCCUUUCACACUUGGGUGGAGUGAGGAAAUUCAUGUAAAGUGCCUUUCCCAAGGACACAACGUCAGCCCUGAUGUGGCAAGGAUUUGAACCCACAACCUUUCGGUCGAGAUUCUGACAGCCUAAACACUAGGCCACCAUGUUAAUUGGCUUGUAAUGUAUAUAAAUGCACAUUUACCAGUACAUUUAAUAUAUAAUAUGUAUAAUUUUGCACAAAUAACAAUGCCAACAUAGACUCUUGGUCCUAUAUUAAGGACCCCAUUGAUUUAAAUGCUAUUUUAUUUUUCCAGCUGCAGACAACCAAAGUGUUUGCUGUAGGGGACUACAAUAAAACAUAUGUGAAACUUUCUGAUUUUGACCUCUAAAAGUUCUUGAUCUCUUGAAGCAAAUUUACUCUCAUUUUUUCAAAUUCCUGAUUUCUUGAAACUCACAAUCUUUGGAAGUAAAAUGCAUGUCCAAUUGUAUAUAAUCCUUACAAAUUUACUUGAUGUACCUUGAAUUGCAAAUUGUUUUUACACAAGCCAUCGGUCACUGACUUAUAAACAUAAGGACAAAACCUGAGAGAUUGACUGUUAUUAUUAAAAAAAAUCACCUAGUGCAACCUACAUACAAAUGAUUUUUUGUUUGGCAUCCAAAUCCCCAGAUCAACUAGAUUAUUAAAGACCAAAAAAAACACCAUAUGGUUGCUCCACGGAUCACUGAAUGUGGGCGGAGCUUAUCCAUGGUCAAUGUUAUUUACCUGGAAUUUACCUGGCCAAGAGAUCAGUUGUUGUGUAUAUUUUUAUGAUAUACACAGGAAAUUUCUCAGGUUAUUACAAAUUAUGCUUAGUGUCUUGAUUUGUGCAAAAAAAAAAAAAUAAUUAAAAUUUCUACCUACAUGCAUACCGCAUUUCUAUUUCCCGUAAACCUUCAA